GAGAAAAAGGAGAAGGAGAAGGAGGAAGAGAAGAAGUCCACAAAGGUCCUGGAGAUGGAGCGAUGUAGAAUCUGAAGAGCUGUGUUCUACAGGGACUGAUGUGCUACACCUACUGUACUUAAUGGAGAUGUCACUUUGAUGUGGUUCACCAAGUUCCUUGGCUCUCCGCCUGGGAUUCCUGGCUGAUCCUAGAAUGAGUGGACGGUCCUUGUUCUCUUCACAGCCCUGUUAGCAGGGUCCUGUUGUGCCUCUACGUCAAGUUCUCAAAAAGGAGCUGCUGACUUUUUGAGUCUGUAGCAGCACAAGUACCUGACUGGGCGGUCCAGGGUUCAAGAGGAAAUCAACACGUCUCACAUCUGCAGGUGUCAGUGCAUAAAGACACGAGACGUUUCCUGGCAGAAAUGUGAGACUGGAGAAAUUGAGCCAUGAAUGGCUCCAUUUAUGGAUCCUUACCCGUGAUUGACAGAAUGGCUAUUAGGAGCGAAUAUUAGCAGCGCUCUUUGAAUUGGCUGUGCCUCCUGCCAAGCACUUGACAUGGAUUAUCUACUUUACGUCUGGCAAGAGACUGAGGUGUGUGUCCCCUCCCCCGUUUUCGCCGAUCAGGGAAAUGAGACCCAGAAAGGUGGCGUAAUUCAUGUUCAAGAUCAAGCUGGUCACCCUGAGGUGGCCUUGUGCCAACAUUCCUUUCUGCUUCUCUUCCCCUACACCAUGGUGUUAGCUGAUGGGGCCAACUUACUCCAUUUGCAACAACGGCAGUAUCAACAGUGACCCCCUCGGAGUUGUCCAGAGUUCACAGCCAGUAUGGUCUUCUGCAAUUGCUGUCUCACAUGAUAUGAACGCCUUGUGAGAUAAACAGGCAAUGACCAUAAUCCUUAUC